CGAAACCAGCAUUUAGCCGUGGCACUCGACGUCAUUAUUCCGGGAUCCUCACUGCGACAGUGGAGCCGUUCUUGCCGACGCCCCCAGCCAAGAUGGCGGCGGCCAGGGCUCCCAGGGUCAAGGUCGCCGCCAGCACCGCGGCCGCCCCUAC